AAAGUGGAGCAAUCCAUGAGUACAGUGGCGUACGGGUGAGUAACACGUGGGUGAUCUACCUCUUAGUGAGGAAUAACCCUGGGAAACCGGGGCUAAUACCGCAUAAGCCUGAGAAGGGAAAGCAGCAAUGCGCUGAGAGAGGAGCCCGCGGCCGAUUAGCUAGUUGGUGAGGUAAAAGCCCACCAAGGCAGAGAUCGGUAGCCGGCCUGAGAGGGCACACGGCCACACUGGCACUGAAACACGGGCCAGACUCCUACGGGAGGCAGCAGUGGGGAAUCUUGCACAAUGGGGGAAACCCUGAUGCAGCGACGCCGCGUGAGCGAUGAAGCCCUUCGGGGUGUAAAGCUCUUUCGUCAGGGAAGAUCAUGACGGUACCUGGAGAAGCAGCUGCGGCUAACUACGUGCCAGCAGCCGCGGUAAUACGUAGGCAGCAAGCGUUGUUCGGAGUUACUGGGCGUAAAGGGUGUGUAGGCGGUUCUUUAAGUUUGGUGUGAAAUCUCCCGGCUCAACCGGGAGGGUGCGCCGAAUACUGAGGGACUAGAGUGUGGGAGAGGAAAGUGGAAUUCCUGGUGUAGCGGUGAAAUGCGUAGAUAUCAGGAGGAACACCGGUGGUGUAGACGGCUUUCUGGACCAUAACUGACGCUGAGACACGAAAGCGUGGGUAGCAAACAGGAUUAGAUACCCUGGUAGUCCACGCCCUAAACGAUGCAUAUUUGGUGUGGGUCAUUCAGUUGAUCCGUGCCGGAGCUAACGCGUUAAAUAUGCCGCCUGGGGAGUACAGUCGCAAGGCUGAAACUCAAAGGAAUUGAC
rnacentral:rRNA from 1 species